GAUGAACGCUGGCGGCGUGCCUAAUACAUGCCAGUCGAGCGAACAGACGAGGAGCUUGCUCCUCUGACGUUAGCGGCGGACGGGUGAGUAACACGUGGAUAACCUACCUAUAAGACUGGGAUAACUUCGGGAAACCGGAGCUAAUACCGGAUAAUAUAUUGAACCGCAUGGUUCAAUAGUGAAAGACGGUUUUGCUGUCACUUAUAGAUGGAUCCGCGCCGCAUUAGCUAGUUGGUAAGGUAACGGCUUACCAAGGCGACGAUGCGUAGCCGACCUGAGAGGGUGAUCGGCCACACUGGAACUGAGACACGGUCCAGACUCCUACGGGAGGCAGAAGUAGGGAAUCUUCCGCAAUGGGCGAAAGCCUGACGGAGCAACGCCGCGUGAGUGAUGAAGGUCUUCGGAUCGUAAAACUCUGUUAUUAGGGAAGAACAAGUGUGUAAGUAACUAUGCACGUCUGGACGGUACCUAAUCAGAAAGCCACGGCUAACUACGU
rnacentral:rRNA from 1 species